rnacentral:lncRNA from 1 species
GUUGGCAAAUAGUCUGAUCAAUUAACUAAAAGUGUCAGUUUAUAUCUUUAUAGAUCAAAUUGUAAGUAAAUAUCUUCUUUUAUUUGAUUGGUAAUAUAUGAUUAUAAAACGCUUUAAAUAUUACAAAUAUAUAUAGAAAAUCAAAAUGAUCUUCUUACAUUUUGUGUAAAAAGAUUUGUAUGUACAGCUGUUAAAAAUAUUAACAAUCUUUUUCAAAGACGUUUGAGAAAAUUCCUUGAAAUUUCACUUUGUGUUAUGCUUAAUAUUAUUGAGACAGUAUUGUUUUCAUGGUUGAUUCGGAUCAAGUCUAUUUUGAAAUUUGAAAUCUAUAUGACAUAAAUUCGAAAGACUCUUUUUACAUUUCGGUCAAUUACACAUUUUUUUUUAUCAAAAAAUUGAAAUUAACUCCUGAAUGGCGUUGUCUUCUUGUCUUUUGAAUUUUGUGUCUUCUUGUCUUUUGAAUUGCGUUGAAACUUUCUGUCAUAGAAAACUGAAAUUGCCUCCUGAUUAGCCAUUUGAAACAAUUGUUCUGCUUAUACUUUGAAUUGUCGGUGAAAUUUUCUGUCAUAGAUGCGCAUCGUUUAUAUUUUUUUAACCACACAGUGGUUGUAAUUACGCAAUGGAAAAUGUGUCUUUAAAAAUGUUAAACUUUACCGUGCAUUGUUUUGAUUUGUAAAUGUUAUAAUCGACUAGAAACUGAAAGAAAAUUAUGACUUCCAAAUAUAUUUGCAACUUUUGUUUAGCUAUUCUAAAAAUAGAUGUCGUAUUAAAACAUGUAAAAAUAUACAAUGUUUUUUUUGGUGACAGGUUCUUGUAAUGUCGCGUUUUUACAAUGAAUUCCAAUUUUUAAGUAAGCAUGUUGAAAUAUCAAAGAAUUCAUCUUACUUUGUAGCAAAAAUAAGACCAAUGAAAUUGUGCAUAUCUUUUGAUUAUCCCCACUAUGGAGUUCCUUAUAGCAAAGCAAGGUCGUUAAACACUUCAGUAGUAGAAGUAUCGAAUGUUUUUUUUACUGUGGGAGAACAAUAUUUGAUGACAGUUGUUAUCUUGUAGUUCGUUUCUGUGCGUGUUGCAUUGUCGUUUGUUUUUUGUUCACUUCAGUGUUUUGUUGUUUCGUUGUUUUCCUCUUAUAAUUGAUGUGUUUCUCUCGGUUGUAGUUUGUAACCCAGAUUUGUUUUUGUAUCAAUCGAUUUAUGACUUUUGAACACCGGUAUAUUUAUGUUGCCUUUAUUUAUCAUAAACGUUAGUUCCGACUAUCAUUUCAGCUCCUGACAACCGUUUACGCAUGAGUAGUAAACUUUUUUCUACAGUUAAUGCCAUGAUUAUACGUUUGUACAUGUAAAUUGUUUCCUUGUUUUUUUUUGUUUUUAUACUGUUGAAAUGCAUUUCAUAACUUCCCAAAGUAUCUAAUAUUAAUUGACAGAAUUCAAAAAUUCAAAUCAUUGAUAUAUUCAUCUAACACGAAUUGACUGGGUUUUAAAAUUCUCAUCACCAGCAUAAGAGUCAGACAUGAAUUUAUUUAAGUUAUCUUCACAUGUAUAAAUAUCUGACAUUCAUUGAAUAAAGAAAUGCACAAGUGUGUAUGAGUGGGAAGACAGGAACAUUUUUCCUAAUUCAACUUUUGACUAACAAUGGAGAUAGCGUCACAGCUGAUGUAAAUCAAAAUUCUCGUGAUGUUCUUCCCUAUGUACUUGAACAAUAGUGUUUAUUCAUUUUCACAUAUUAUUUUUCAUUUAUUAUAUUUCAGAAUCUUAGACGUAUUUUAUUCAGCUUCGUAUAUAAGUUUUUGGGACUGUUGUUUCUAUUUCCGUGUACACCAAGUGGGAUGCACUUUGUUUCUGUUGCCUGCAUGGUUAUUUUUAUCCUGUCUACAGGCAGAUUUUAUGUUCAUGUUUGUGUUAUGCAGUAUGUAUGUCGACCUCUUAUUUCGGUUGAGUUUAUUUAUCAACGAUGUGAAUAAAAUAAAGUUAAGAGGAACAAUAGUAGAUCUCCUCUUACAAUAUAAAUUUCAAAAUGACUUGAAAUAAUUUCCCAUUCUUUGAGCUUAGCAGAAGAAUAUAUUUUCAUUGUUUCCUCUUUACUGAUAAACCACCUAAUAUAUAAAUUAAUAUUGAAUUUAAAGAUAACUCUAGUUGUCACUUGAUUAACGAACAGUUCUUGAUGAGAAACAAAUAUUUGAAAUUUGUUUAUCAUUAGUUUUGUUAAACAACUGGAACUGCACAGGUAACAGAUAGCAGAUACAAAGUGCAACUCGAUUAGUGCACUCGGAAAUAGAAAAAAAAACUUAUAUAUGAAGGUAUAAAAUGCGAUCAGAUUUCUAAAAAUAUAAUAAAUUAAAACCAACAGAUGAAAAAACUAAUCAAACUAUUGUUCAAGUACAUAGGGAAUAAAAUCUAGAUUUUUUUUACAUCAAGUGUUACACUUUAAAUCAAACUUAAUCGAAACGCGAAUUCCUGUCUUCCCACUAAUACACACUUUAUUCGAGUGUUUCUUUAUUCAAUUACUAACAGAUACUUAUACUAGUGUAGACAAAUGUGCACUUAAAUAAAUUCAUGUCUGACUCUACCAGUGUAGAUAAAUUUUUAGUUUAAAAAAUUCAUGUCGGAUUCUUGUACAAUGAAGAGAAUGUUUUUAUCAGUCAUUGUCAGUUUUGGAAGUAUUCAAAUGCAUUACAACAGUAUUGAAACAUAGAAACAAGUUAACAAAUCAUAUAUAAAGAUGUAUAAUUAUGGCAUUAACUGUAAAACUAUUUUAUAUGCUAAAACGGUUGUUAGGAGCUAAGAUGACAGUCAGAACUAAUGUUUUUGAAAGGAUAAAAUUGUUCUCUCACAGCCAAAAAUCAUUCGAUACUACUAUUACUGAAUUGUUUUACGCCAUUGAUUGGCUAUAAGGAACUCGCAUAGUCGGGAUAAUCAUAAGAUAUGUUCAAUUCCAUUGGUCUUAUUAUUGCUACGAAAUAUGGUGGAUCGUUUGAUACAACUACUACGGAAGUGUUAAACGCUAGCUAAACGACUUUGACACUUGUUUGACAAUUUAGAUGAAAAACAAAUGUUUGAAAUUUGUUCUACAAUAGUUUUGUUAAACGCCUCGAAUUGCAUGAUUAAAGGAAUCAUACAUGUCUUGUUAUGGUCAAUGUUGUCAUUUGGUCGAUGUUUCAUGAACGUGAAACAAAAACUCUAUUUGAUUGUUACUUACUUCUGGAUCAAUAUAUUUGAGGUGUAUACUUUUAUUUGAUUAGGAACGUUCCAUUUUGAAUUUUUCUCGGAGUUCAUAUUUUUGUGAUUUUACUUUUCACUUAUCAUACAUUUGAAGGAAGUUCUAUUUUAUUCUAUUUAAUAAAAGCAAAAUACAGUGUUUGGACUUUGCAGCUAGGAAGAAUAACACUAACUUAUUGUGAGCUGAACGAAAACAUGUUUUGUCUUUUAUUUGUACAUACGUUACAAGGAUCUAUUUCUUUUUUAAAAUCAAGUAAUUUAUUCUGAGAAGACAAAUAAAAAGGUACUUAUCUGGUUUUAAUAAAUUAGAGGCAAUUGACUAAACAUAAGAUUGAAUUACUUAAAAAAAAGCAUAUACACAUUAAAUUGAUGUCAUACAUGUAUUAGACAAAUGAACAGCUACGACCUUUAAACAUCAAUUCAAACAUAUUUCAUAGUUUUUUCCGACAUCAAAAUUCCUAAAAGAGUUAUUUUUUUUAAAGCAAUAUGUAUUUUACUUGAUAUUUUGUUAUAUAUACGUCAUAAUUAAUAUGACCGUAUCGAUGGUCUCGUGUAAGAGUUAUACCAAGUGUGUUAUCCAUUCAAACUCGUUAGUUCUGGCUGUCAUUAACGCGCGUCUGGCGUAAAUUCAAAAUUUGAUCCUGAUAUCUAUGAUGAGUUUAUUUUCAGCUCCUGACAGCUGUUUUAGCAUGAGGAGUAAACUUGCAUUAUGCCAUACUUAAACAUGUGUACACGUUAUUUGUUUCUUUGUGUUAAGACUGGUGUGAUGCAUUUGAAUACUUCCAUCUUAUAUUAAUUGACUGAACUGAAAAAUUCUAAUUACUGGUUUAUGUAUCUUGCAUGAAUUGACUGAAGUUAAAAAUUCUCAUCACCAGUAUAUUAGUGUCAGACAUGAAUUCAUUGAGGUGUAAAUUUAUUUACACUGGUAAAAAUAUCUGAUAUUCUUUUUAUAAAGAAACUAACAAAUAUAAUAUGUAUAAGUGUAAGACAGGAAAAUUCCCCAUAAGUUCGACAUUUGAUUAACAAUGAAGAUAUGUUGAUGUAAAAUUAUCUUGAAUUUCUUCCCUGUGUACUUGAACAAUAGUUUUAUCAGUUAUUUUCAUCUUUUGUUUUUCAUUUCUUCUAUUUUAGGCAUCUGAUCGCAUUUUAUUCAGCUUGAUAUAUAAGUUGGAAACUGUGUUUUUCUAUUUCCGUGAUUUGCACUUUGUAUCUGAUACCUGCAUGGAUAUUUUCAUCAUGCAAUUCGAGUUGUUUAACAAAACUAAUGUAGAACUAGUUUCAAAUAGUUGUUUCUCAUUUAAAAUUGAUUGUCAAUCAAGUAAGAACCAGGCUGCUCUUUAAAUUAUAUUUUAAUUUAUGAAUUAGGUGAAUGUCAGUAAAGGGGAAACCAUAAACAAUAAAUUAUUCUGCUAAACUCAAAGAAUGGAAAAAUUAUUUCAUGUCAUUUUGAAAUUUAUAUGUUAGAAGGAGAUCUACUAAUGUUUCUCUUUAUUUUAUUCACAACGUUUAUAUAUAGACACACAUACUGAAUUAACAGAGCAUACAAAUAAAAUAUGCCUGUUGAACUCUAAAUAAUUCAUAGAAAAGGUUACAAGGAAUCACACAUGUCUUCGUUAUGGCCAAUAUUGUCAUUGGGUCGCUGUUUCAUUGACGUGUGCCCAGAAACUCCUUUAAGUCACAUACUAAUAGAAAAGGUUACAAGGAAUCACACAUGUCUUUGUUAUGGCCAAUAUUGCUAUUGGGUCACUGUUUCAUUGACGUGUGCCCAGAAACUCCUUUAAGUUACAUACUAAUAGAAAAGGUUACAAGGAAUCACACAUGUCUUUGUUAUGGCCAAUAUUGUCAUUGGGUCGCUGUUUCAUAGACGUGUGCCCAGAAACUCCUUUAAGUCACAUACUAAUAGAAAAGGUUACAAGGAAUCACACAUGUCUUUGUUAUAGCCAAUAUUGUCAUUGGGUCGCUGUCUCAUUGACGUGUGUCUAGAAACUCCUUUAAGUCACAUACUAAUAGAUAAGGUUACAAGGAAUCACACAUGUCUUUGUCAUGACCAAUAUUGUCAUUGGGUCGCUGUUUCAUUGACGUGUGUACAGAAACUCCUUAAAUCACACACUAAUAGAAAAGGUUACAAGGAAUCACACAUGUCUUUGUUAUGGCCAAUAUUGUCAUUGGGUAGCUGUUUCAUAGACGUGUGCCAAGGAACUCCUUUGAGUCACAUACUAAUAGAUAAGGUUACAAGGAAUCACACAUGUCUUUGUGAUGGCCAAUAUUGUCAUUGGUUUGCUGUUUCAUUGAAGUGUGCCCAGAAACUCCUUAAGUCACAUACUAAUAGAAAAGGUUACAAGGAAUCACACAUGUCUUUGUCAUGGCCAAUAUUGUCAUUGGGUCGCUGUUUCAUUGACGUGUGCCCAGAACUCCUUAAGUCACAUACUAAUAGAUAAGGUUACAAGGAAUCACACAUGUCUUUGUCAUGACCAAUAUUGUCAUUGAGUCGCUAUUUCAUUGACGUGUGCCCAUAAAAUCCUUAAGUCACAUACUAAUAGAAAAGGUUACAAGGAAUCACACAUGCCUUUGUUAUGGCCAAUAUUGUCAUUGGGUCGCUGUUGUAUUAACGUGUGCCCAGAAACUCCUUUAAGUCACAUACUAAUAGAAAAGGUUACAAGGAGUCACACAUGUUUUGUUAUGGCCAUAUUGUCAUUGGGUCCGCCAUACUGUGCCCAGAAAGUCCUAAGUCACAUAUAAUAGAAAAGGUUACAAGGAAUCACACAUGUCUUUGUUAUGGCCAAUAUUGUCAUUGGGUCGCUGUUUCAUUGACGUGUGCCCAGAAACUCCUUAAGUCACAUACUAAUAGAUAAUGUUACAAGGAAUCACACAUCUCUUUGUCAUGACCAAUAUUGUCAUUGGGUCGCUGUUUCAUUGACGUGUGCCCAGAAGACCCUUAAGUCACAUACUAAUAGAAAAGGUUACAAGGAAUCACACAUGUCUUUGUUAUGGCCAAUAUUGUCAUUGGUUUGCUGUUUCAUUGACGUGUGCCCAGAAACCCCUUUACGUCACAUACUAAUAGAAAAGGUUACAAGGAAUCACACAUGUCUUUGUUAUGGCCAAUAUUGUCAUUGAGUAGCUGUUUCAUAGACGUGUGCCCAGAAACUCCUUUAAGUCACAUACUAAUAGAUAAGGUUACAAGGAAUCACACAUGUCUUUACCAUGACCAAUAUUGUCAUUGGGUCGCUGUUUCAUUGACGUGUGCACAGAAACUCCUUAAAGUCACAUACUAAUAGAAAAGGUUACAAGGAAUUACACAUGUCUUUGUUAUGGCCAAUAUUGCCAUUGGAUCGCUGUUUCAUUGGCCUGUGCCCAGAAACUCCUGUAAGUCACAUACUAAUAGAAAAGGUUACAAGGAAUCACACAUGUCGUUGUCAUGACCAAUAUUGUCAUUGGGUCGCUGUUUCAUUGACGUGUGCACAGAAACUCCUUUAAGUCACAUACUAAUAGAAAAGGUUACAAGGAAUCACACAUGUCUUUGUUAUGGCCAACAUUGUCAUUGGGUCGCUGUUUCAUUGACGUGUGCACAGAAACUCAUUUAAGUCACAUACUAAUAGAAAAGGUUACAAGGAAUCACACAAAGUCACGUCUUUGUUAUGGUCAAUAUUGUCAUUGGGUCGCUGUUUCAUUGACGUGUGCCCAGAAACUCCUUUAAGUCACAUACUAUACUUGAUUGUUACUUACUGGUCGAUUCAAUAUCGUUGGGGUGUAUUAACUCACUUGCAAUACAUUUGAAGGAAGUUUUUUUUUUUUUUUAUUUUAAAAAAGCAAAAUAUAGUGUUCGUAUUUAGUAGGUAGGAAGAAAUGUUUCUAUAGUAUUGUGAGCUAAACGCAAGCACGUUUUUGUCUUUUUAUUUGUACAUACAUGACAAGGAAUUUCCUUCUGAUUUAUCCAUUAAUAAAUUAUAAGAAGACAAAUAAAAAGUUAGAUUUCUGGUUUUAAUAAACUAGAGGCAAAUUGACUUGGGGAAGUUACUUUAUAAAGCAUAUAAACAUUAUAUUGAUGACAUACGACAAACGAAAAGCGACGACCUAUAAACAUCUAUGAAUUUAUAUUUAAUUUUUUUUACUGUAUCAAAAUUCCUAAUAGAGGGACAUUUUUUAAGCAAUAUGUAUUUCACUUCAAAUUUUGUUUAAUAUAGUUCCUAAUUUAUAUGACCGUAUUGAUGGUCUCGUGGUAGCGUGUUUGCCUCGAGUGCAGGAGUCAUGGGUUGGAACUCCGGACGGUUCCCACAACAAAAACUUCAAAAUUAGUUAUCCGCUUAGCACGCAGUAUUUAGGAGCAGACCAAAGACUGGUCGUCUGCUCGGAGUUAGAAUAAUAUGCACGGGUAAGGUGACAUGUCUUCCUGCAGACUGUUACCUUGUGAACUUCAUGUGACACGUUGAAGCUCCGGCUCAGUAUGUCUAUCUUGUAUUUAUUGUAAUACAAGUUCCAUUGAAGACGAAUUUAAUUUUUUAUUGGAAUGUAAUAAAUAUGCUGACAUUAGAGAAAAAUAUAUCAAACAAUAUUAUUGGAGACACCCUCUACUUAUAAAUUGAUACAAUUGUUAUCUGUACAGAAUAUUAAAGAACUGAACAAUCUUGGUAAAUACUUAAAAUUAGCGGAGAAACUACGCUGCUAACUUUUUUAUUAAUUUUAUGAAUUCAUACUCUGCGUUAUACUUGAAAUUGUAAUGUAUACAAGUAAUUUAAAGUAUCUCAAUGUAGUUAACAUUUGAUUAUUAUAUGUCUGUUUAUUUAAUAUGGUGCAUGUAUAAUUAAUUUGUCAAAAAAUGAAUGUAUAUCCUAUAAGCUGUACUCGCUUUUGGAAUAAAGUAUUAUUAUCUAGUAAACAGUAAGGGUUAUAUUCAUAGCUCAUUAACAUGUUCUCGGCCUUAAUAUGCAUUCAAUUUUCCGCUGGACAUUAAAUGGCCAUCAAUCAUCAUCUUGUACAUACUUGAUAAAGUCAAACAAGUUUAAUCUUCUCAAAGUAUCACCAAUACACUGAAACCAAACAUCCAUAGAUUCCCUCAUAUUCAAAUGAAACAUUACAAUGAUUUGUUAACUGCUUUUGCGAAGUUUACAUUUAGAUUCAGAAAAAAACCUCCUAUAGUUAACUAAAAGUAGUAAAUAAAUAUAUCUCAAUAGCAUCAUACAUGUUUCAAUCAAUGUUUAAACAAAUUGAAAAAAAGUAGAAAAAACAAAAAUACCGAAAUCCAAGGAAAAUUAAAAAUGAAAAGUUCCAUUACAAUUGGCAAAAUCAAAAUCUCAAACACAUCAAAUGAAUGGGAAACAACAGUCAUAUUCCUGACUUGGUACACUACAUCUACAAAACAACUCAUCUUUAGAAUGAAAAUAACAUUUUAUGAAUAUUAUGCGACCGAAAAGGUUUCUGGACUGACCUUUUCCUAGAUUGCUCACACUAAAAAAUAUGAAAGCCCAGGAUGUACAACUACUCUGAUACUUCAUGACUUAUUUGACAAAACAGAAGUCUAAAUAAAAAGCCAAAACCACCUUCAAAUAAAUCAUUUUAAUCAUAAAGUAAUUGUUUUUUCUGGAUCUUAAUUUUAAUUUUUCUUAAUUUUUUUUUAAUAAUUAAGUUGAACAUCAUUACCUGACCCAGCGGCGAACCAUAGUUUGAUAAAUAUGUCGUAGCUAUAAAUCUUCCACUCUGUUGUUAGAUUAUCAAUUGAAAUGGAAAUGAUUGUUGAUGUAUGUUAUAUGAACAAAUUUAAAAGGAAAAGAAAACUUUAUAAAUUUUGUAUAGGAAUUCCAUCCCCCUCCCCCCCAAAAAAAGUUUAACCCACCACUCUCUUUGAAAAAUGCAAGUCAGGAAUACGACUGUUGUUUUGUUCACUGUUCCUAUGUUUGAUAACGUUUGAUUCUGUCAGUGUUUUCCUUUUUUUAAUUUAACUUAGAGUUCAGUUUUUUUAUGUACUCUUUUGUUAAGUAAAUCUGCAUUUUACACGUCCUUAUGUCUGCAUACUAAUGAUAUAAUAGAAGAAACUUAAUGUAAACUAUACAAGGCAUCAUAUUCUUAUAAGUCAUUAUGCCUGCAUGCAAACAGGUUUAUGCUGAGCGCCAAUUUUGCGCAAUAAUUCCAACUUGUGCAACAAACAAACUUAUGUAUAAACUUACUGCUUAUCAAGUGAGUAACAAUUAGCAACGACAAGCAAAAUUGAAAGGUUUUCUUCAAAAUGUAAACUAUUUUCUUUUUGUUGAUAAGAUUCGAAAAUACGAAUUAAUUCGAUGUUAUUUAGAACGUUUUCUUUUAUAAAGACAGAAAAUAUGAUUUUGUGGACAACAUAAUAAUGAAUGAAUAUAUGAUGGAUAUGAUUGAAUUAUUCUCUAAGUGACUUUUUUUUUAUAAUAAAGCAAAAUAAUUAUUUUUUUCAGUUUCCGUUGAUUAUUUAACUAAUCUUGAAUGCAAAGAUCAUAUUUAGUAUGUUUGACAAUAUUCACUUAUUAUAUUUCAUACAUAAGAAGUACUUUACACAGUUAUGGAUAUUUUUCAGGUGUAUUAUGGAGAAAAUCUACAGUAUACUUUUAAUAAUUGCAUGCACUGUCACCGUAAAUGGAUGCCCUACAUUAUGCAGAUGCUCGGGCACGAAUGUUUAUUGCAACAACAAAUCUCUUACGAAAGUUCCGAGAUAUAAUAUACCGAGAUCAACAAGAGCAUUGUAAGUAUUUAUUUUUAAAAGUGUUUCUUUAACUAAAAACAACAUACGAUACGUAUUUUAGUGCUCAUGAACAAGCUUUAUGUCGAUGUCCACAACAAACGUCAGAAAGUCUUUUCAAUCAAAUUUUGUUGUGAGUCAAAUCUGUUGAUAUUAUCUAGAAUACCUGUUGCAGUAUAACUGAAGGAUGUAUAUUCCCUCACUUUGCAAUUAUUAGUAACAUUUUGGACAUUUUAAUGUCAAUAUUUGCAGUAUUAACGUUAACAAAAAAGAAAAGAAAAGGACGACUGUAUUUUGACGCUUUGUACGUGACAUUCUUGUCGUGAAAAUAACUGUUCACGCGCAAAACAAAAUUUCAGUAAAAAAAAAGUUUUAACGAAUAAUUGAAGCUACAAAAAUAAAGAAAAACCCGUUUUUCAAAAUUAUAAGACUUUUUUUUAGUAGCGUCAAAACUAUUCAAAUGAGUGUGCAAGCAGUUACUUCUAUCUUUUUCGAAACAGCAUUAUACAUAUUAUGUGUGUAACGUAUUUGUACUUGUUCAUAUGCAUUUAAUUGUUUUAAAAAAUAGUCUGUAGAAUUUGAAUACUUACACCAAAUCAAACAAAGAGUUGCUUUAUUACUUAAUGAAUAAAUUAUCAAUCAAAGACCAAAAGACAAUAAAAAAUCACUCGACUCACAAACUAUCCCGAACGACACCUUAACGUAAGAUUUAAAUGGCUUCUGACCCACUUAAAGUUUCUUUUAUAUUCUUUUUGUAAGUCUUCUAGUCGAAAUUGAACAAAAGAAGUGAUCAUGUACAUUUGUUAUACCUGUGAUACAUUUUGUUUGCUUGUCAAAGUCGAGAACUCGAUGUUGUUUUGUCCUAUCGUUUUAAAUUUUGUAAGAAUUCAAUGAUAUAUCAUUAAUAAGUUUGUUUAAAUACUCACUUUCUUUUACUAGAGUCGAUUCAGAGCUUAGAUUAUUGUUUAGUCAUAUUUUAAUCCUUCAAAAUAUCAUGGCUAAAUUUGUCAAAGAAAUUGGAUUUUUCUAAGUUUUAGAGCAGGCCUUGAUAUUGUUUUCAUUUCGUGUUAAUCAAUUACGCUAUUAAUGUAUAAUUACUAUUAAUCAUAUAAAUUAACAAGUUUUCAAUCAUCUCUGCCUCACUUCCAGUAGCCUCAUUUCUAUUCCAUACUGUUUGUAUUGCUAAAUUACAAGGCUUGACUCAAGAUACUUGCAAGUAAAAUUGAUUCGGCAAAAAAAAAAAAAAAAAAUAUUUGCCAUCAUGUGCUUAUGGUUUGCUGAUACAUUGAAUGUACAUUUUGCUACGGUAAUUCUGUAAUGAUUUAACUUAUCAUUUUAUAAACAGUUAAAAAAAAUAUUUUUAUUAAGUUUUGUACAUAGAAAGUAUGUUGAUAACUAUUUUAAGGAAAUGUAAAAUAAGGACUUCAAGUUGAUAUGAUUGAAGUGAUAAGAUAAUUUAAUUGAUUUGAAUUUUGUUUAUCGAGAGGUUACUAACAAGAUAAAUAACGGAGGAGAUGAUUGACUCUAUUCCUAUUGAAAUUGAGACCAAUAUCCCUAAAGAGGAAUAAUACCCCUGACAGUCAGGUGAUAUACAUAUUCGGUUGGUAAUUAACAUUUUCAGAACAACCAGACCAUUGUGCCUUAGACAAUUUUCAUGUGACUCUUUUAAUUUGUCUUGGUUUUUUUUUACGAGAAUCGACUCGAUUUCAAGUUGAUAUAAAACAAUAUUGAAUAAAUAUCGAUGCAUUACCAAAAAAAAAAAAUGAUAAAAAUGUUUUUAUCAAUUAUAGCUGUAAAUGUGCGAGCAAUUUGGCAAAGUUUUUGGUUAAUAACUGCUGCAUGAAGAAGGCAAACCAAUGUAAACCUAUAUUCUUUUGCCAAAACACAACGAAACUGUUACGCAAACUAUAUUCAUAAAUGUUUUGAAGGAUUCCACAGGAAGCACUUAGGUAACUGAAUUGAAAAUUGAUGGCUGAUAUUCCUAUUGUUUGCUAACACUUGUAAUUGACAUAUAGUUAGCUGUUGUAAAAAUAUGUUUAAAAAUAUAAAUGUGUGUGUAUUAAAUUUCAUCAACUAUAAUGCGAUAAUUGUUUAAAAUUUAAGUUUUAAAGAAUAAAUACUCGUUUUGUUAUAAUUAUAAGACGUUUUUUACACUUCGAAAAAACAAUUUAUGUAACAAUAAUGCCUUGUUCACACGUACAUUUAAUUCGAAUAAAAUACGAAUCGAAUGCGAAUCCAAAUCGCUAAUCGCGUUAACACAGUCUUCUGUUUUUUUUUAAAUAUGAAUCGCAUUCAUAUUGGCUAAUCGGCAUAAUCUUUUAUAUUAUAAAUGCGUCUCCGUUAAUGGGAACUAGUUAAUUCGCUACAAUUUGAAUUAAACUGUGGUGUUGACACUUUCUAAAUUGUUAUUCGAAUUACCCGUACAAGUGCUUGGACGGACAAGUUUCUUUAAAAUUAAAAAACGUAACACAAAUAAUUCGUGUCCGUCAAUACCAUAGGCAAAAACCAUAAUGUUAUGUCUUAUUGUCUGUAGUCGAAAUAAUUAUAAAAUUGCCUUUCAAUAACAUCAUUGUCAUGAGUAUUGUUUGGACGAGUAUGGUGAAAAUAAUUGUAUAAAGUUCGAGAUUGCAUGUUAGUUACGUAAGCGCGUCAUUGUUUGUGGUAUCCUGUGGGGUUUGUCGUUGAUGGAAUAUAUUCGAUAUUGUUCUGCGGUUUGAUUGUUGUGUUUUAACAUUGUCAUAAAGCGGGUGGUUCUGCUAGCUAUUAAACCAGAUUCAACUCACCAUUGUUUCUUAAAAUGUGACUGUCCUGUACCAAGUCAGGAAUAUGGCGGUUGUUAUCAAAUAUUUCGUUUCUAUGUAUGAUGGCGUUUGUUUUUGUUGCACUGCAGUGUUCUUGUUUUCCUCUUAUAGUUGAUGUGUUUCCCUCGGCUUUAGUUUGUAACCCGGAUUUGUUUUCUCUCAAUCGAUCUAUAACUUAUGAACACCGGUAUACUACCGAGCCUUUAUUUAGCCCCUCUUAUUAACUCACAAUAUUCACAUUGGUAAAUACAUAUUUUAUUUAAUGUUAUUUAUUUUGUUUUGAAAAGUUUAAAAAUUCUAAUUACCAAAAUUUAGAACCUUUGAAAUUUAUAUAUAUAUAGUAUUUAGCAACCAACAUGUCAUAGUAUUAAGUAAUUUGAGUGCUGGGUAUCAUUAGUCGUACUAAUCCACAUCUAUAAGAUUAGCGCAAUUGCCACAAACCAGCUCAAUUUCAUGUUGCUCACCAAAAUAGAUUAAAUUAAGCGCUUAAGGUUUUAUUUGAACAAUUAUAUAUAUAUUUUAAAACUGUUUCCUCUUCAUUAUGUGUAGAUUGUUUUAGCGUUAUUACAUUUGGCAUCCAUCGUCAACCUGUCAAUAAACUAGUAUUAUCUCUGGUACGCAUUCCCGAAUCCCCAGUAGAAUUGCUCUUGCUACAGAUGUAUAAUUAUGUUGAUUUUAUAACUUACAAUUAAGCUGUUCAUAGCCUUGAUCGUCUAGUCGUUGGUAACGAAUGUCAUAACCGUGAUAUUAACAGUACGAAGUUCAAACCUUGUACCCGGAAAGAAAUUUUUUCAUCGUAAUUUUUUCUCCAUCGAAAAAUUAUUUUAAUCUUAGAGGUAUUAUAUAUUUCAUUUUCUUACAAAGGCGUCCGUUCAAUGUUGACGUGAUGUAUAUUUGGACCAUUAAAAAUCAAACAAAGAAAAAUUUAUUGAUAGAAUGAUAAUAUUAUAAGACGAAAACCAUUAGUAAGCAUGUGCUUAGAUGAAACGGAAAAUGAAAGUCCUUGAACGUUGAAAGUGACAAGUGUUAUGGGCAUAUGGAUGUUAAUUUAUCAAGGAAUUAUAUAUAUAUUGCAUAUAUUACAAAAGCGAAUCAUCAAUGAGACAGACAUCCAGUUUAUUGACAUGUAUUGACAAUAAAGCGCUUUAAGAGUAUAAUUUAAAUAUUGAUUUAUGUCAGCACUCGUGGUAUAGUGGUAUCAUGUAUAGACCGAAGACUCUACUGAUUUACGAUGAAAAUACUCAAGAAUUCGAACCCUUCAUAUGCAACUCGUUUUUGAGAGGAUAAAGGGCCGUAAAAAAGUUUAAAGUUAUAAAGAAGUUAUCUUAAGUUUAUAGAGUGGUCAGUAGAUUCUUAAACAAAUAAUCUACAGUAACAACAAUAGACUGACGUCAGAGAAAUGGUUUAAAGCACACAUCUUAAACCGUUAUGUUUCCCCCUCGAUGUCUUUUUUUUUUUAUCUCAUUGAGUUGUCUCAUUCGACAUUUCCAGAAAGUCGUCUAUACCGACACAUAAGCACAUUCUGACUUAAAAUAGAGGGAUCGUAUUUAAAUAUCGAAAUCAUUUGAUUUAAUAUUGAUUGAAUUUCGCUAUUAACUUGUACGAAAAAAAACCUCUUAAACGUUGUACAUUUAUUCAAGUUCAAAUUUAGAUUAAUAAAGAUACACAGGGUGCUUUGCAAUUAUGAAAUGGUUGAUUCUGUGUAUUCUAUAAAAUUAUGUAUUUUCACAACACGGUAUCUCUUUGUUUUCCAGUCUUUUAUAAACAUAUCGUCAGUUCGAAUGAAUACUCCCACGUACAAUUAUUUUCUGACAACUCUUGCGUAUAUACUAAACGGAGGAAAUGUUUUAACCGAUGCUUUAACAUAUUCAAAGAUUCAACACAAAUUUCCAGAGAUCAGUUGCAUUAAGAUACUUGUUUUACUUGUGAGAGAUGCACUUUGUGGUUAUUUUGUUUUUCAUCAAUGUUUGUGUUGUUCCAACCAGUAAAAGUCCUAUUUCUCAUAAUAUCUUGAUUUCAUUUAAAUUUGUAACAUCAGUUAAGUCCUAUGGUAAGUGAAUUAUAUUUACUGAUGGUUUAGUAUAUGAUGAUGUGUUAUGGUAAAAGAAGUAACAUAUACUGAUGUUUUUGUAUUUGAUGAUGUCUUUGGGUUAUGCAAUUAACAUGUACCGAUGGUUAUGUAUUUUGUGAUGUCUUUUGAUUAUACAAUUAACAUGUACUGAUGGUUUUGUAUUUUGUGAUGUCUUUGGUUCACGCAAUUAACAUACCGAUGGUUUUGUUUUUGAUGAUGUCUUUGGGUUAUACAAUUAACAUGUACCGAUGGUUUUGUAUUUGGUGAUAUUCUUUGGGUUAUACAAUAACCAUGAACCGAUAGUUUUGUAUAUGGUGAUGUCUUUGGGUUUUACAAUUAACAUGUACCGAUGGUUUUGUAUUUGGUGAUAUUUUUUGAGAUAUACAAUUAAGAUGUACCGAUGGUUUUGAAUUUGGUGAUGUCUUUGGGUUAUACAAUAACAUGUACCGAUGGUUUUGUAUUUGGUGAUUUCUUGGGGUAAGAUAAGUAUCAUGUACCGAUGGUUUUGUAAUUGGUGAUGACUUUGGGUUUUACAAUUUACAUGUACCGAUGGUUUUGUAUUUAGUGAUGUCUUGUGUAAGAGAAGUAACAUGUUCCGAUGGUUUUGUAUUUGGUGAUGUCUUAGGGAUAGAGUAGUAACAUGAACCGAAUGUUUUGUAUUUCGUGAUGUCUUUGGGUUACACAAUUAACAUAUACCGAUGGCUUUGUAUUAAGCGAUGUCUUAGUGUAUAAGAAGAAACAUGUCCUGAUACUUUUGUAUUUGGUGAUGUCUUACGGCAAAAGUAGGAACAUAUACCGAUGGUUUCUUUUGGAUUUGAUGAUGUCUUUCUGUUUUACAAUUAGCAUGUACCGAUGGUUUUGUAUUUGGUGAUGUCUUUCUGUUUUACAAUUAACAUGUACCGAUGGUUUUGUACUUAGUGAUGUCUUAGGGUUAUACAAUUAACAUAUACCGAUGGUUUUGUAUUUGGUGUUGUCUAUAAGUUAUACAAUUAACAUGUAUCGAUGGUUUUGUAUUUGGUGUUGUCUCUCUUUUUUACAAUUAACAUGUAAUGAUGGUUUUGUAUUUGGUGAUGUCAGGGUAAGAACGGUAACAUAAACCGAUGUCUUUGUUUUUAGUAAUGUCUUAGGAUUAUACAAUUAUCACGUACCGAUGCGUUUGUUGUUGAUGAUGUCUUUGGGUUAUACAAUUAACAUGUACCGAUGGUUUUAUAUUUACUGAUGUCUUAGGGUAAGAGAAGUAACAUGUACAUGUAUCGAUGGUUUUGUAUUUGGUGAUGUCUUAGGGUUAUACAACUAACAUGUACCGAUGAUUUUGUAUUUGGUGAUGUCUUAGGGUUAUACACUUAUUAUGUACUGAUCGUUUUGUAAUUGGCGAUGUCUUUGGAACACACAAUUAACAUGUACCGAUGGUUUUGUACUUGGCGAUGUCUUUGGUUAUACAAUUAACAUGCAUCUAAAAAUACCAUGACCUUGUUGAUAAAUAUUCUGUAUCAACUUCACAAAUAAUACACGACAGUCUUGUAGUAUAGAUACUGACGUUGUUUAACAUCUUAAUUACGUGUUAUAGUGUUCUUUUAUUGGUCUUUGUAAAUUAUUACUUCUACUGUUUAGUUUAUGUUUGUUAAUAUCCAUUUGACGUGGCUCGAUAUUUAUACAUCCCGUCAUUGUGUUAUUGUGCUAUUGUCCUUUUUUGUAUUCUUGCUAAUGUGCUUUGUCUAUAUACAUUUUUACUUUUCUUUGUUGACAUAUUUGUUUGUUUUAUAGCGAUUAAGAUUAAAACACAAAGUUGACUGCUGUACCCUUAUUUCUGACAUUUUUUACUUUUAUGUCUGUGUGUUUUGUUCACACAUCGUUGUCAAUAUAAUGGAACUUGAUGCGACUGUUAUACAAGUGAGAGAUUUAGCUAGCUAUAAAAUCAGGUUUAAUGCACCAUUGUCUGCAUAAGAAAAUGCCUGUACCAAGUCAGGAAUAUGUCAGUUCUUAUCAAUUUGUUUGAUGUGUUUGAGCUUUUGAUUUUGCCAUUUUAUUAGGAACUUUCCGUUUUGAAUUUUCCUCGGAGUUCGGUGUUUUUGUUAUUAUACUUGUUUUAAUGGUUCUAACAGAUGUUUAUGAUACAAUAACAUAGAUCCUUUACUCAGAAUGGGGAUUGACUGUUUGUGUUGAUGGUUAACUGUUGCAUUAUACUUCACAUUCUAUAAUAUUCAUGAUAAUUGUUCAAUAACUUUGAAAAGUUAAUUUGAAGUCAUAUUUUGUUAAAUACGCUCCAGAAUUUUUCUUGUGAAUGUUCAAAUGUUGUGUUGUUUAAAAUUGUGAUACUUCUAUGGUGUAGAAUUUGUAAAAAUAUAUAAUCAAGGAAUAUUGUAGGUGACCUGAACAGAUAAUUUAAGGUAAUCUGGAUUUUCUAAAUGGAGAGGUUUUUCUAUAUAUAGUUUUUUUGACAAGGUAGUAAACUAGAGCAGAUAAGACUAACAAUAUUUUCGAAUUGCGACUGAAGAGGAGUAACUUUAUCAAUCUUUUACUAUACAUCUUUGAUUAGUAGUUCACAUUAUAAUAACUAAAACAUUGUACAUUGGACAAAAACUUCUGAAAGAGGAAUUACAUUAUACUGUAAUGGGUUUAUUUCUAUGCAACUAAAAAAUUGCAUUUUUGAAUUUUUCUACAAAGAAGUUUUGAUUUUUUCACAUGUUUAAGUCAAUCAAUUGGUUACAAAGAUAAUGUUUAAUAUUUAUUACCUAAAACAGAACAACGCGAUAACUCUCUUACCAUGUUUACGGCUAUAUAAAUUUCAAUCAACACAAAAUGUAAUGUUGAAACUUUAAACAAAGAGAUGUAGCUGUACACUACAAAACAUAUACUUUCAAAGUCUUUGUAGCAAAUAAAAUUUCACUAUAUGCAAAUUUAUUUGAAGACUUGACUGAUCCUCAAUAGAGAGGCUUAAGAUACUAGAGGAACAUUCAAACUCAUUCAUUCUCGCUGUGUUGCAGACCUAUUUGUGGCCUUCGGCUGUUUUCCACCCUUUGGUCGGGUUGUUGUCUCUAUGACACAUUCCCCAUUUCCAUUCUCAAUUUAAUCAUAAGCUGAAAAUAAACUGACAACGCCAUGGCUAAAAAAGAUAAGACCAACAGACAAAUAGUGCACAUAGAAAACUAAAGACUGAGCAACACGAAUUCAAACCAAAAACUGGGGGUGAUCUCAGGUGCUCCGGAAGGGUGACACCCGUCAUGUUGCUCAUGUUAGUACAACCCCGGUAAUAAGUCUAAUUCGGUAGGACACAAUCGGGAAAAGAGACGGGAUUGCAGUUACGACAUGAGGAACAUAUCCGCUUUCAUCUGUGAAACGGAUAUUCCAUAACGGUCAACAAACUCGUGAUGGCGUCCGUAAACUGAUGAAAUGAUGAUUUCAACUUCACCUCUUGAAACUCUUUGUUUAAUAACUCCCUUAUGAGCAGCAACCCUCUAUCAAGGAAAUCAUGAUAGGAAAUAUAAUCACUGGAAUAUCGUAUCAACUUGUUAUAAACAAAUUAAGUAUGAUGAUAUUGAUGGAACAGAAGAGAUGAUUUUAGAAAUUGAUAAAUCCAUCCUUCUCCACUUCGGUAUGUACAUUUAAAAGAACGACGAAAAUCUUUCUUCUUUGUAUUAGAUACAUUAACCUCAGAACAUUCCGUAUAGACUGCGAUAUUAAACCGUGUCGUCAAAAGCAUGCUACUUACACAAACACUAUUCAAACAGAGUUAUAAAGAAGAACAACUGAUAUCAACAUUCCGUAUAGUAGUCGAUAUAAAAUAGUAUAGUCAAGGCUAUGCUACUUACACAAACACUGCUCCAACAGAGUUAUAAAGAAGAACGACUGAGAUCACCAUUCCGUAUAGUCACCGAUAUAAAGCAGUAUAUUCAAGGGUAUGCUACUUACACAAACACUGUGUCUUUGGGUUAUACAAUUAACAUAUACCGAUGGUUUUGUAUUUGAUGAUGUCUUUGGUUUGAUGAAGAUAAUAACUAGUUCCGAUGGUUUUGUAUUUGGUGAUGUUUUAGGGUUAAUAAAGAUAAUAAUAUGUACCGAUGAUUUUGUAUCUGUUGAUAUCCUAAGGAGUGAACGUUUGACGUAUACCCAUCGUUUUGUAUCUGGCGAUUUAUUGAUGGAUUUGACUUAUCCGUGAUUUUGAAAAGUUGCAUGACGGGUGUCAGAUGUUGGAUAUGUUUUGUUGAUGAAUUCCCGUACAACAUUGUUUUCGUUUGUCCUUCAGGGCCAGGGUGGUGGUUUUAUAGCUCAAGCGUUAAUUUUUGUACAUGUUUUGGUCAGUUUUACUUCGACUUAUUCUAUUUUGUGAGGAACAUUGUUAUAAUUGCUUCAUUCAUAGUCGAUCGCCAAUGACAAACUUUCUAAUUGAUUGCAUACAAUUCACAGAAAGAUCGUAAAACAUAGUGUUCAUACUGACCACUGAACCAUGGAAAGCCACACAAGAUAAAUCCAUUCAACGGCACAUGUUAAACACACAUGUGGUCAAUCAGCACGGCUCUGACCUCGCGGAAAGAGUGCGUUCAUUUGAUCAAAACCAGUCAGGUUCGCAAGAGCACGUCGGAUUGGUGAGACUGGAUAACUUUUGGUAGUUUUGUGUUUUUAAAAAUAUUUUCAAUGUAUGCACUGUAACUUAAUGUGUUUUUGUAGACACAACAGUAAUGAUCUGUUAUAGAAAAUCAACACAAACAUAUUUUAUGAGCAAUAAUUUUCUAAAUUAUUUGAUAGAACGAGUUUUGAUAAUAUUUUGAUAAGUAGGUUAUUUAUUCUAAGUUUGUCACAGGUUGAAAAUGGCUUCACCUGCUAGUCUAAACUACUAAAAAGUUAAAAAAAAAAAACAAAAACAAAAAUACCGAACUCCAAGGAAUAUUCAAAUCGGAAAGUCCCUUAUCAAAUGGUAAAAUCAAAAGCUCAAACGCAUUAACCGAAUGGAAAACAUCGGUCAUAUUCCUGACUUGGUACAGGCAUUUCUUUACUUAGAAGAUGUAAACUAUUCCUUUUUCCGUCUUUAUCAAGGGGGGGGAGGGGGGGGGUUGCAGGAGAAUUUUGAAAAUGUAUAACCUGGCCCGGUAAGAUUUGAAAAUAAAUAACUUUGCGCAAGACAUGAAGUGUUUAUGCCGCACUAUCUUCUUUUUUUUCAUUUGCGAGGUCAAUUUGCAGAUGUUGUUCUGAAUUUUUCAUUAUUUUGAUUGAUGUUCUAUAACCAUCUGGCAGAUUAUUUUCAAAUGAAAACAAAACAGGUUCGCAAAUGUUCCGUUUUGUUCUUAAACGGUCUGAAAAAAAAUGAUAUUGACAUUUUAGAGCUGACAUUCAAUUAAAGAUACGACCAUACCUACACAGUGACUAUGUAAUUGUAUAAUAUGAACAUAUUUCAGUACCAUUAACACGGCCUACAUUAACUUUAUAAAACCCAGUAUCUUUGAGUUGUUCAAUGUAGGUCUAGUACAUGUAUGAUAGUAGGGUUGAUUUAUUUAUUUUAUUUUUAGUGAUAAUAAAGAACGGUACUUUAAGGUAAACGAAGAACAUGUCAAUGGUUUUUACAGACGUUUAUGAUACAAUACGAUUGAUCCUUUAAUUUGAAUGGGGACAGUUUGUGUUGCAGGUUAAUUGUUGCAUUAUAUCUCACAUUCUAUAAAAUUCUUGAUAAUUGUUCAAUAACUUUGAAAAUGUAAUUUAAAAAGUUAAAAUUUUGUAAAGUACGCUCCACAAUUUUGCUUUUAUAUGUUUAAGUUUUGUGUUGGUUUAAGUUUGUGAAACUUCUAAGGUGUAGAAUAUGUAAAAUUAUAUACAAGGAAUAGUGUAAGUGACCCGAAGAGGUUAUUUUAGAAAUUGAUAAAUUCAUACUGCGAUAUAAAACCGUGUCGUCAAAAGUAUGCUACUUACUCAACCACUGUUCAAACAGAGUUAUUAAGAAGAACGAAUGACAACGACAUUUCAUUCUUAUUGUGACAUAGUCUUGAAGUUAAUCAAAAUAAAAUGGAUUUUUUUUCAAUUAUAAAUUUAAUAUGAUACCAAUUACGGAAAUCUGUUGUUACGUAAUGCUUAACUAGUCCGGAAAAUAAACUUUUUAAUCCAUUAUUACUUUCUAUAAAUCAUCAUUCAAAAUGCUAUAAAACGAUCUAAGUUUUCAAUUUUUAGAGCAGACCUUGAAAUAAUUAUUCUUAAACUUACAUCAUUUAGCUUAAUAUUGGAAAAUGUAUGUAUGCAAUACUUAGACCGGUUUUCAAACAGCUUUACAUACGCCAUCAUAAGUUGUUCAUGAUUUUCAUAAAAUAAAUUUACUGAUUAAAUAUUUCAUUUAAUGUCCUUUCCAGGUACUUGCAGAACAAUCAGAUUAGUUUAAACAUAUUUUAUUGUUCCAAAAAGAGACAAAUGAAUUAGACACAAGUUUUUCAACUUAGUAACGUCUUCUCCAAACAAUCAGAUUACCAGGCUAUAUGGAAAAUCUUUUGAACACUUGACUGCUCUUAAAUACUUGUAACUUAUUUGAAUCCUCCAAGACAAAAUUGCUAUUAUUGCAUGUUAUCACACAUUUUCUGUUAUUGCUUUUUUCAUGUUACUUAUAUUUUGUGAAGAUAUUGAUUGAAUGCAGAUUAUUUAAUUGCUUUGAAAAAGUUAAUUGCAACUGUUCGACAAAGGUUAUAAAUUAGUGUUACAUUAACUCGAUGCGAAGUUCACAGUGGACCCUCUCGUACAACGUAAAUUAUUUUGUAUUUUUAAAUUUAAAAAAUGUGCUGAAGCAGUAAAUUUACUAAAAAGUGUUUUAAUUAUGACACUCAACAGCUAUUUAUUAACCGCACUAUAUGCAUAUUCAUUCAAAGGCUUUACACAGCAUCUGCUCGAAUAAAGUUAACAGUUAACAGCAAUCAACACUCAUAAGUUUUAUGUCCAACAUCAUGAAUUGGAUGACUACCACGACAUAUCUGUGUCUAAACUUCCAUGCGACAUAUUUUUGGCAAUCUUAGAUCUUUAUAAACUAGAAUAUACAAUCGAAUAUUCGUCGUAUCUGUUUUAUUACCGAUUGUUUACUUUUAUUUAUAGUGGGAUAUUUAUUGAAUCUGAAUUAGCACGAUUGGUGAUAAAUGAAUAUCAGGAUACGUUUACCAGCUACUUUUGUGUGUCUUUAUCAGAUUUAUAUACUUAUGAUGUAUGUGUACACAAUUUUGACUGCUAGAUCCCCAUUUUCCGUUAGUUCUGUUGGAAUGAAAAGUCUAACGUUUGAUUCAUCUGUCUUUUUGUUGCUUUGACUUGUCUUCUGAAACGAUUUAUUCUAUUGCAAUAUCCUUCUGCCUUUGCUUAUUUUAUUUUUUAAUAUUUUUUUUUAUCAUUCAGAAAGAUUUGUGACACAUUUUGGUCUACUUUAAUUAAGUAUUAGGUUUAAGGUGUGCCAUUUCUAUAUAAAAAAAUUAUGAAAAACUAGUAAAUUUCUAAUUAAAAAGACAGCUUCACAUCACCUAAAUUUUGUUAAUGGUGGUUGCCUGUAUUGUUUGAUGACACGUUAGUUUGCUAGAGCGGAGAUGACUAAAAUAGUAACAAACUCAGACACCUCCAUUCUUAAGAAGAAUAACAUUAGAUAUCGUCGGUUAAUAAUUCAUGCUAAAUUCCAAGGCUUUGGAAUUUUUGUUUAUUUUGUUCUAUUUUUAGAACUAUAAACUCGAAUCACUGUUCAUGUAAACACAUCAUAGACACCAGGAUUGAACUUUUCUACACCCGACUCGCGUUUGUCUAAAAAAAGACUCAUUUUUUAUAUAGAUUAGACCGUUGGUUUUCCCGUUUGAAUGGUUUUACACUAAUAAUGUUGGGGCCCUUUAUAGCUUGUUGUUCGGUGUGAGCCAAGGCUCCGUGUUGAAGGCCGUACAUUGACCUAUAAUGGUUUACUUUUAUUUAUUGUUAUUUGGAUGAAGAGUUGCCUCAUAGGCACUCACACCACAUCUUCCUAUAUCUAAUCAUCAGUGACACUCGAAUAACAAAAGUUAAAAAAAAGGCAAAGCAGAGAAGAAAGUUGAAGGGCAUUGGGAACCAAAAAUUCCUAAAUAUAACAUACUGUCAACAAAUGUCUAUGUAUUGCAAUACAAUACUGAUUGCUAUCGACAACAGAAGUAAAUUGUUCAUUUGUAACCCUAAAAAGGUAAUUUGGAAAAGUUGUACCUGUUCGCUUAGCGAGAAGGAACAAUAUUUUUCAACAGUAUUACUAGCUUAAAAAUUUGACACAAGACUACGGGAAAUCGUUGUGCAACGUACACUGUAUGCGUCAAAAAGUAUUAGGUUCUUACGGACAACUACGGUAACUGAAAUGAUUUUUUGGAAUAAAUAUGCUUUGCCAGCAUCCAGUGGUUCAUUUUAUACUGCCAUUUUAUGUUGGGUUCAUGUUGCUCAGUCUUAAGUUUUAUAUGUUGUGUUUAAUACACUGUUGUUCGUCUAUGUAUUGUGUAUUGUUUAUGCCAUGGCAGUGUUAGUUUGUUCGACUUUGAGUUUGAUAAACCUUUGAUAUCUUUAGCCUCUCCUUUGCAAUUUUCCUUCAUAUAAAAAUAAGUAGAUGUGGUAUGAUUACCAAUGAGACAACUUCCCACCAAAGUUCAAAAUGAAGUGGAUGUAGGCAACUAUAGGCAAUUGUACGGUCUUUAACAGUGAAAAAACCCAUACCGUAUGGUCGGCUAUCAAAGGCCCAAACAUGAAAAAUAUGAAACAAUUCAAUUUGGAAAAUUAACGGCCUAUUGUAUAUGUAUAUUAUAAUUUAUUUCAUACAUAUGAUGUGCAUAGUAUAAUUUUUAGAAUAUAUUAAAAGUAAGAACAUUUAAUGUACGUUGAAUUGAUGAGAUAACUUAAGUGGUUUGAAUUUUGAUAUUUAAUAAGUUACCCUCCAUCUGGGUAUAAUAAAUUUAGUUAACCUGAGCAAGGGUGCCAAAAUCUUGAUUAAUAUUGAGGCCAAUAUUCUUAGAAAGGAAUACCUUUAAUAAUCUGGCGUUAUACAUCUUUGAUUAAUAGUUAUCUUUUUAAAAACAGAAAAAAAAACAUUGUGCUUUGUACGAUUUCCGGAUACUUUGCUCAUCUGUUCUAUUUUAAGGGUAAUCGACUAGAUUCCAAGUUAAUAUAAAACAGGUAUCAACAGAUAUUCAUAUAUUACGAUUAAAUUUAGAUUGCGAUUUAGUUUUGAAUCUUUUAUCAAGCUAAGACCAAGCAUUUUCAAUAAAAAAUUAGCUAUAGGUAUACAACCGCUAAUUCAUAGCCUCAUUGCUUUCUAUGUUAAAUUCUGCAAUUUUCAAGCAUUAAUGUCUACUUUGUCAUAAGUUCAAAUAAAGUAGAAGCUAUUUCAAGUAAAACUAUACCUUAUCCUGACUUGUGCUGAUCAAUUCAACAAGACUUUAAUUGCAUAUUAGAGUGUACUGGUUUCCGGAAGUUUGAUAGUAUAAAUUCAGGAACUUCUGAUCUAAACAACAGGGCAAAUGUGCCCUUCUAAUAAGAUUUCAUAUAGUUCCUAGGAAACUUUCAAAAACUUGUAAAAACACAAGAAAACUGUUACUGAGAUUUUUUUUAUAUUCAUUAAGGUUUUGAUGGAUAUCACAGGAACAACUUAAGUAACUUAAUUGAAAAUUAAUGGCUGAUAUUCUUAUUAGCUGCCAACACUUGUAAUUGACCUAUAGCUAGCUGUUGUAAAAUAUGGUCAAAAAGAUAAAUGUUUGUGUACUAACUUUCAUCAACUAUAAAGCAAUAAGUUUUAAAGUAGUUAACGUAAAAAUUGAAGUUUUAAAGCAUAAAUACUCGUUUAGUCAUAAUUUUAAGACUGAUUUAUGCUUCGAAAAAGCAACAGAUGUAACUAUAAUGUCUCGUUCACACGUUCGAAUCGAAUGUAAAUCCAAUUUGCAAAUUGCAUUCACACAGUCUUCUUUUUUAAAAUUUGAAUCGAUUCGAAUUUGCUAAUUCACAUCAUCAAAUUCGCAUAUUGCGCUCACACAAUCUUUUUUUUUAAAUUUGAAUCGAUUCGAAUUUGCUAAUUCGCAUUAUCUAAUUCGAAUUAUCAAAUUCGCAUUAGCACAUCAGUUCCCUUCAAGUCGAAUUAAACUGUGGUGUGAACACUUUCUAAAUGGUAUUUCGAACUAUCCAUACAAGUGCUUGGACAGACACGUUAAAAGAAUACUAUAAUUAGUUCUUGAGUCUUUAAAAUUAAAAACAUAACACCAAUAAUUUAUGUCCGCAAAAAUACCAUAGGCGAAAACCAUAAUUAUGUCAUUGUGGCCAUGACGUCAUAUUCACAUGGACGUAAUAUGCGUAUAUCCCGACCCCAAAUGUCUGAUAAUAUUUUACAAAGGGGUAAGACUUGGUCGUUAAUAGAGAAAUUUUGUCUAUCCUAACACCUUCCUCAAAAAACAAAUGGUCCUUCCCUAAAGAAGAACGUUUUUAAAGAAGUGAAAAAUCUGGGCAAAAUUGAAAACACAUGUUUUUCUUCCUUUAACAAUGGUUAUUGUAAAAAAACAAUAGGAAAACCCGACCCUGUUAUUAAAAUUAGAAGGACAAAUGAAUCCGAUAAAUACCUGAUCAGUUAAAGAGAGCAGGAAAUAUUAUUGGCUCUAAAAUUAUUGUUCUCUUUGAAAUCAUAAUUAAUAAAUUGAUAAAGCGAAUUAAAGGUUAACUUUGUUCGGACAGUAAAGCGAAUUUGUCUCUAUGCUAUUCGUAUUAAAAUUUACGUUCGAACGUAAAACGAUUUGAACUAAACUAACUCAAAUUAGUUAAUGCGAAUCAAAUUCGAAUUACGUGUGAAGGCAGCAUUAGAAUGUUAUUAUCAUUUUACGAUUUCAAUAUGCAUGUAUAUGAAACUGUAAUUUCAAGACGAUUUGUUAAUUCAAAGACUUUUUUAAUCCACAUUAAAAAAAAUGUUGUAUGACUUCGCAAUGAUUAUAUUAUCAAUCAAGGAUCAAAAGACAAUUAACAAAAAACAUACUCAAAUAAUAUCAACACCGACACCGUUUGUAGGAUUUAAAAGGCUUCUGGCACACUUCAAGUUCUUUUUAAUACUUUUUGUUAAUCUAACCAUCGAAAUGAAGAGGAGAAGUUUAAUAUAUCAUGCACGUUUGUUAUACCUGCGACACUUUCAUAGUGCCUGUCCCAAGUCAAGAACUCACCAUGAGAUGUCUUUUGUCAUAUCGAAUUAUUUUUCAAGUUAAUGACAGAUCAUUGAUAGUUUUGUAUAAAUUAUCAAACUUUUUUGUAACAAAAGUCGUAUUUGAGCUUAAUCUUAAUCCCCUCGAUGACUUUUGUAUUUUUAUCUCAUUGAGUUUUCUCAUUCGACAUUUUCAGAAAGUCGUCUUUACCGACAUCUAAGCAAAAUUCUGACUAAAAAUAGAGGAUAGCAUUCAAACGUCGAAAUAAUCUGAUUUAAUAUUGAUUGGAUUUCACUAUUAACUUGUACGAAAAACAACUCCAAAACAUUGUAAAUAUAUUAAAGUUCAAAUUUAGAUUAAUAAAGAUACAAAAAGUCAUUUUCAGAAAGACACCUAAGCAUAUUCUGACUUAAAAUAGAGGGAUGGUAUUUAAAUAUCGAAAUAAUUUGAUCAUGUUGAUUUAAUAUUGAUUGUAUUUCACUAUAUUAACGUGUACGAAAAACAAAUCAAGUUCAAAUUUAGAUUCAUAAAGAUACAAAGGGUGCUUUACAAUUAUGAAAUGGUUGAUUCUGUGUAUUCUAUAAAAUAAAGUAUUUUCACAACAAGGUAUGCAUACUCCCUCGUGUUGAAUUACAAUUAUUUACUUUAAACUCUUGCGUAUUUACUAAACGGAGAAAAUGUUUUAACAUAUUCAAAGAUUCAACACAAAUUUUCAGAGAUCAGUUUCAUUAAGGUCUUACUUGUGAGAGAUACACUUUGUGGUUAUUUUGUUUUUCAAUGUUUGUGUUGUUCCAACCAGUAAAAGUUCCUCUGUUAAUUCCUAUGGUAAGUGAAUUAAAUUAACUGAUGGUUUAGUAUAUGAUGAUGUCUUAGGGUAAGAAAAGUAACAUGUCCUGAUGGUUUUGUAUUUGGUGUUGUCUUUGGGUUAUACAAUUAACAUGUACCGAUGGCUUUGUAUUUGAUGAUGUCUUAGGGUUAUACAAUUAACAUAUACCAAUUGUUUUGUAUUUGAUGAUGUCUUUGUGUUAUACAAUUAACAUGUACCGAUGAUUUUGUAUUUGAUGAUGUCUUUGGGCUAUUCAAUUAACAUGUACCAAUGGCUUAGUAUUUGAUGAUGUCUUAGGGUUAUACAAUUAACAUAUACCGAUGGCUUAGUAUUUGAUGAUGUCUUAGGGUUAUACAAUUAACAUGUACCGAUGAUUUUGUAUUUGAUGAUGUCUUUGGGUUAUACAAUUAACAUAUACCGAUGGCUUUGUAUUUGAUAAUGUCUAAGUGUUUUACAAUUAACAUGUACCGAUGGUUUUGUAUUUGGUGAUGUCUUUGUGUUAUAAAAUUAACAUGUACCGAUGAUUUUGUAUUUGAUGAAGUCUUUGGGUUAUACAAUUAACAUAUACCGAUGGCUUUGUAUUUGAUGAUGUUUUUGGGUUAUACAAUUAACAUGUACCGGUGGUUUUGUAUUUGAUGGUGUCUUGGGUUAAACAAUAACAUAUGCCGAUGGAUUGGUAUUUGAUGAUGUCGUUGGAUUAUACAAUUUACAUAUACCGAUGGCUUUGUAUUUGAUGAUGUCUUUGGUUUAUACAAUUAACAUAUACCGAUGGCUUGUCUUUGGGUUAUACAAUUAACAUGUACCGAUGGUUUUGUAUUUGAUGAUGUCUUGGGUUAUACAAUUAACAUAUACCAAUGGAUUGGUAUUUGAUGAUGUCUUUGGAUUAUACAAUUUACAUAUACCGAUGGCUUUGUAUUUGAUGAUGUCUUUGGUUUAUACAAUUAACAUAUACCGAUGGCUCUGUAUUUGAUUAUGUUUUUGGGUUAUACAAUUAACAUGUACCGAUGAUUUUGUAUUUGGUGAUGUCGUUGGGUUAUACAAUUAACAUGUACCGAUGGUUUUGUAUUUGGUGAUGUCUUAGGGUAAGAGAAGUAACAUGUACCGAUGAUUUUGUAUUUGGUGAUGUUUUAGGAUUAUACAAUUAACAUGUACCGAUGAUUUUGUAUUUGUGAUGUCUUUGGGUUAUACAAUUAACAUGUACCGAUGAUUUUGGAUUUGGUGAUGUACUUGGGUUAUACAGUUAACAUGUACCGAUGGUUUUGUAUUUGUUGAUGUCUUUGGGUUAUACAAUUAACAUGUACCGAUGGUUUUGUAUUUGAUGAUGUCUUUGGGUUAUACAAUUAACAUGUACCGAUGGUUUUGUAUUUGGUGAUGUCUUAGGGUUGAUAAAGAUAAUAAUAUGUACCGAUGAUUUUGUAUCUGUUGAUAUCCUAAGGAGUGAACGUUUAACUUAUACCCAUCGUUUUGUAUUUUGCGAUUUAUUGAUGGAUUUGACUUAUCCGUGAUUUUGUAAAGUAACAUGACGGGUGCCAGAUGUUGGAAAUGUUUUGUUGAUGAAUUCCCGUACAACAUUGUUUUCUUUUCUCCUUCAGUCUUAGGGUGGUGGGUCGUAUAGCUCAAGCGUUAAUUUUUGGACAUGUUUUGGUCAGUUUCGCUUCGACUUAUGCGUUUAGAACUUCUAUUUUGCAAUUUUGUGAGGAACAUUGGUAUAAUUACUUCAUUCAUAGUUGAUCGCCAUUGACAAACUUUCUAAUUGAUUGCAUACAAUUCACAGAAAGAUCGUAAAACAUAGUGUCCAUACUGACCACUGAACCAUGGUAAGCCACACA